AUUGAACGCUGGCGGCAGGCCUAACACAUGCAAGUCGAGCGGAGCGGCGGACGGGUGAGUAAUGCCUAGGAAUCUGACUGGUAGUGGGGGAUAACGUCCGGAAACGGGCGCUAAUACCGCAUACUAUCAGAUGAGCCUAGGUCGGAUUAGCUAGUGGGUGGGGUAAAGGCCUACCAAGGCGACGAUCCGUAACUGGUCUGAGAGGAUGAUCAGUCAUACUGGAACGGAGAAACGGUCCAGACUACUAGGGGAGGCGGCAGUGGGGAAUAUGGGACAGUGGGCGAAAGGCGGAUGAAGGCAUGCUGCGUGUGUGAAGAAGGUGUGCGGAAUGGAGAACACGUUAAGUUGGGAGACGUUACCAACAGAAGAAGCACCGGCUAACUUAGUGCCAGCAGCCGCGGUAAUAC
rnacentral:rRNA from 1 species